GACGAACGCUGGCGGCGUGCCUAAUACAUGCAAGUAGAACGCACAGUUUAUACCGUAGCUUGCUACACCAUAAACUGUGAGUUGCGAACGGGUGAGUAACGCGUAGGUAACCUGCCUGGUAGCGGGGGAUAACUAUUGGAAACGAUAGCUAAUACCGCAUAAUAUUGAUUAUUGCAUGAUAAUUGAUUGAAAGAUGCUAUUGCAUCACUACCAGAUGGACCUGCGUUGUAUUAGCUAGUAGGUGAGGUAACGGCUCACCUAGGCGACGAUACAUAGCCGACCUGAGAGGGUGAUCGGCCACACUGGACUGAGACACGGCCCAGACUCCUACGGGAGGCAGCAGUAGGGAAUCUUCGGCAAUGGACGAAAGUCUGACCGAGCAACGCCGCGUGAGUGAAGAAGGUUUUCGGAUCGUAAAGCUCUGUUGUAAGAGAAGAACGGGUGUGAGAGUGGAAAGUUCACACUGUGACGGUAUCUUACCAGAAAGGGACGGCUAACUACGUG
rnacentral:rRNA from 1 species